AGCAGCCGCGGUAAUUCCAGCUCCAAUACCGUAUAUUAAAGUUGUUGCAGUUAAAAAGCUCGUAGUUGAAUUUCGGGGUCAGUGGGUCGGUCGUGCCACUGGUAUGUACUGGCCCUACUGAUUCCUCCUUCUUGAAGAACUGUAAUGCCAUUAAUUUGGUGUUGCAGGGAAACAGGACUGUUACUUUGAAAAAAUUAGAGUGUUUAAAGCAGGCAAUCGCUUGAAUACAUUAGCAUGGAAUAAUGAAAUAGGACGUUCGAUCCUAUUUUGUUGGUUUCUAGGGUUGACGUAAUGAUUAAUAGGGAUAGUUGGGGGCAUUAGUAUUCAAUUGUCAGAGGUGAAAUUCUUGGAUUUAUUGAAGACUAACUACUGCGAAAGCAUUUGCCAAGGAUGUUUUCAUUAAUCAAGAACGAAAGUUAGGGGAUCGAAGACGAUCAGAUACCGUCGUAGUCUUAACCAUAAACUAUGCCGACUAGGGAUCGGAUGAUGUUAAUUUUUUAAUGACUCA
rnacentral:rRNA from 1 species